CCUACGGGAGGCAGCAGUAAGGAAUAUUGGCCAAUGGACGCAAGUCUGAACCAGCUAUGCCGCGUGAAGGAUUAAGGUCCUCUGGAUUGUAAACUUCUUUUAUCUGGGACGAAAAAAGGUCUUUCUAGACCCCUUGACGGUACCAGAUGAAUAAGCACCGGCUAACUCCGUGCCAGCAGCCGCGGUAAUACGGAGGGUGCAAGCGUUAUCCGGAUUCACUGGGUUUAAAGGGUGCGUAGGCGGGUAGGUAAGUCAGUGGUGAAAUCCUGGAGCUCAACUCCAGAACUGCCAUUGAUACUAUCUAUCUUGAAUAUUGUGGAGGUAAGCGGAAUAUGUCAUGUAGCGGUGAAAUGCUUAGAUAUGACAUAGAACACCCAUUGCGAAGGCAGCUUACUACGCAUAUAUUGACGCUGAGGCACGAAAGCGUGGGGAUCAAACAGGAUUAGAUACCCUGGUAGUCCACGACCGUAACGACUAGAUACUACGACACUACGACGAUACACUGUGUGUGUCGUGAGACGAAGACAUUAAGUA
rnacentral:rRNA from 1 species